rnacentral:rRNA from 1 species
GAAUUUUAUUAAUAUUAAAUUACUAAGAAUUAAUAAAUCUAAUAUUUAUUUGAUUGGAGGGAUAUUUAAAUUAAUAGAACUUUAAAUUAAUUAAUAACGUUAAUUAAUGGGAUAAUGAAUUAUAUUAAAUGAUUUAAAUUAUGUUAAUAGAAGAAUAAAUUACCUUAGGGAAAACAGCAUAAUAGUUUUAGAGAGUUCAUAUUGAUAAAAAUGUUGGU